UACGGAGGGAGCUAGCGUUGUUCGGAAUUACUGGGCGUAAAGCGCGCGUAGGCGGUUUUUUAAGUCAGAGGUGAAAGCCUGGAGCUCAACUCCAGAACUGCCUUUGAAACUGGAAAACUUGAAUCUUGGAGAGGUCAGUGGAAUUCCGAGUGUAGAGGUGGAAUUCGUAGAUAUUCGGAAGAACACCAGUGGCGAAGGCGACUGACUGGACUAUAACUGACACUGAGGCUCGAAAGCGUGGGGAGCAAACAGG
rnacentral:rRNA from 1 species